rnacentral:rRNA from 1 species
UGUGCUAAGGUAGCAUAAUCCUUUGUUAUUUAAUUAAUAUCUUGAAUGAAGGGUUUGACGAGAGAGAGACUUUUUUAAAUAGAUAAACGAAUUUGAUCUAAAAAUAAAAAAGUUUUUAAUAUUUAGCAAGACGAUAAGACCCUAGAACCUACUUCUAUUUACUGGGGUGGUAAUAUUAAGUACAAGUACCAUAUAAUCAUAUUUUAUGUACUCAAAAAUACAGGUACUCUAGGGAUAACAGCAUAAUCCCCCUUUAGAGCCCCUAUCGACAGAGGGGAUUGUGACCUCGAUGUUGAAUUGAAGUGUCUUAUUCCAGCAG